rnacentral:rRNA from 1 species
GAUGAACGCUGGCGGCGUGCUUAACACAUGCAAGUCGAACGGAAAGGCCCAAGCUUGCUUGGGUACUCGAGUGGCGAACGGGUGAGUAACACGUGGGUGAUCUGCCCUGCACUUCGGGAUAAGCCUGGGAAACUGGGUCUAAUACCGGAUAGGACGAUGGUUUGGAUGCCAUUGUGGAAAGUUUUUUCGGUGUGGGAUGAGCUCGCGGCCUAUCAGCUUGUUGGUGGGGUAAUGGCCUACCAAGGCGUCGACGGGUAGCCGGCCUGAGAGGGUGUACGGCCACAUUGGGACUGAGAUACGGCCCAGACUCCUACGGGAGGCAGCAGUGGGGAAUAUUGCACAAUGGGCGCAAGCCUGAUGCAGCGACGCCGCGUGGGGGAUGACGGCCUUCGGGUUGUAAACUCCGUUCGCUAGGGACGAAGCGUUUUGUGACGGUACCUGGAGAAGAAGCACCGGCUAACUACGUG